ensembl:misc_RNA Metazoa_SRP Metazoan signal recognition particle RNA
GCCGGGCACGCUGGCGCGUGCCUGUAUUCCCAGCUACUCGGAAGGCUGAGGUGGGAGGAUCCCUUGAGCCCAGGAGUUCUGGGUGGUAGUGUGCUAUGCCGACUGGGUGUCCGCACUAAGUUCGGCAUCAAUAUGGUGACCUCCUAGGAGCGGAGGACCACCAGGUUGCCUAAGGAGGGGUGAACCGGCCCAGGUUGGAAAUGGAGCAGGUCAAAACUCCCAUGCUGAUCAGUAAUGGGAUCAUGCCUGUGAAUAGCCACUGCACUCCAGCCUGGGCAACACAGCGAGAACUCGUCUCU